rnacentral:rRNA from 1 species
CCUACGGGAGGCUGCAGUGGGGAAUUUUGCGCAAUGCUCGUAAGAGUGACGCAGCGACGCCGCGUGAAUGACGAAGGCCUUCGGGUCGUACAGUUCUUUCGACAGGGAAGAAAAUGCCUAUAAGUAACUGUGUAUGUCUUGACGGUACCUGUAUAAGCAGCCCCGGCUAACUCCGUGCCAGCAGCCGCGGUAAUACGGAGGGGGCGAGCGUUGUUCGGUGGGACUGGGCGUAAAGGGCACGUAGGCUGUGUUGUAAGUCAUUAGUCAAAGACUAGAGAUCAACUUUAGUAAGGCUAGUGAUAAUAUAUAACUAGAGUAUCAGAGAGGAUAGCAGAAUUCCUGGUGUAGCGGUGAAAUGCGUAGAUAUCAGGAGGAAUACCGGUAGCGAAGGCGGAAAUCUGGCUGGAAACUGACGCUGAGGUGCGAAAGCGUGGGUAGCAAACAGGAUUAGAUACCCGUGUAGUC